CCUACGGGGGGCUGCAGUGAGGAAUAUUGGUCAAUGGGCGUAAGCCUGAACCAGCCAAGUCGCGUGAGGGAUGAAGGUUCUAUGGAUCGUAAACCUCUUUUGUAAGGGAAUAAAGUGUGGGACGUGUCCUAUUUUGUAUGUACCUUAUGAAUAAGGAUCGGCUAACUCCGUGCCAGCAGCCGCGGUAAUACGGAGGAUCCGAGCGUUAUCCGGGUUUAUUGGGGUUAAAGGGUGCGUAGGCGGCCUGUUAAGUCAGCGGUGAAAGGCUGGGGCUCAACCACAGAAUUGCCGUUGAAACUGGGAGGCUGGAGUAUGGUAGAGGCAGGCGGAAUGCGUGGUGUAGCGGUGAAAUGCUUAGAUAGCACGCAGAACCCCGAUUGCGAAGGCAGCAUGCCGGGCCAUGACUGACGCUGAUGCACGAAAGCGUGGGGAUCAAACAGGAUUAGAUACCCGUGUAGUC
rnacentral:rRNA from 1 species